GCUACGUGGGGCUGUGUGAGGACACAGUGUGUGAUGUAAGAUGCUUGUACAUAUUUUUGUUGACACAUUUCAACGUUGACAUGCAAUAAUUAGUUAACUGCUAAUUAAUUAUUUUGUGCGCGUCUUUUAAAAGGCCGCGGUGUUAGCUAGAGUUUUAUGCGUUUUUUAAAUAAGCGUUUUAAAAAAAAAAUGAAGCGUCAUCAGUUUCCGGGGAAAGUCCGCCAGCAUUUCGCUUUCAAUUCAGAUGCGACGGCACGAUUUAAAUGUAAACCAGUGUAAUUGUUUUACAUUUUAUUACAAAACGUAAAAAUCAUUAAUAUCGACUGGACUGUUUGUAUAUAAGAAGCUGGAUUCGGGAAGCUGCAAGAACAAAACUGACCGCAAAUGGGAGUUACUGGUAAGUCUUGCGUAGGAAUUGUGCCUGAAGGGCCGAGCAAAGUAAAAGUGAAACCGAACACACAAGCUAACUGCUUCAUUCUUUGCUCAAAUCCACUCGAGCUUUAAUUCAUAUAUGGAUGGAUUUUUUUUUUCAUCUUUUAUGCGGAAUAUAUUGAUGGAGGCACAUGUUGAGGAUGAUCUUCAGUGGAUCAAAAGUAGCCCUGGCAUGGUUCACCUCUACAUCGAAGAUCAGACAAAGGAAGGACAGAGUCUGAUGGUUGUCUAUCGACAAAGGAACUAUGCCUUCAGCAAAGAAGGAAACAGACAAAGACAUGUCUAGAAAAAUAUAUGUUCAUUUCAACAUACAGAAAAAUGAAGUCUGCAGUCUGUGCUUAUAGUUUCACAUCUUUUUUUGCGUGUAUGUGUGUGUGUGGUUUAUUUCCCAGAUGGUAUUCCAGUCUCGGGUUUGAAACCACAGAAGCUCUCACACCCUCUUUGUAUCUUCAUGGUGUAGCUUUUGACUGUUUAAAACACAAUGUGUUUAAACUUCUGCUGCUGAUGCCGUAUUGUCGCGGGACUUCGUACUCGCAAAAACUCAUGAACUACAACAUCGUAAACCGAACAAAAGGUGUUAUGCAUGAGCAGCUGUCAUUGGGGGGUGUCAUCAACCUGACCUCUUUUGGAUUAGUUAAUGAUUAUUUGUUUAUUAUGUAGUCGAGUUGUUGCGUGACACCUCGCGUGUAGCCAUUUUUUUUUAAAAUGACAGAAAAAGCUGUAUGCAAAAGACCUCGCUAACGUGUAACUCAAAGCUGCUUUGUUUCAGUGAAGCCAAUCAUGUUCUUCUACUAUGUUUUGGACAGCAUCACUACAUAAAGUUAUUUUGUGCUUUUUUUAUUAUAUUAUACUAUAUUAUAAUUUCCUAUACUUUAUCUAGUCAUUAAUGUCGGUAACUGCACUAACAGCUGCAGGUCAUUUUCACAGGUGUUUGAUUUCAAAGGACUAAGGAAACAUUGUUGUAUUUCCGAACUCCCAUUGAACUACACUUUUAUACGUUUAUCAGCACGCUGGAGGCCAUAGCAGCUG